rnacentral:misc_RNA from 1 species
UCCGGUUUGUCACCGGCAGUCUGGUGUGAGUCCCCAACUUAAUGAUGGCAACGCACCACGGGGGUUGCGCUCGUUGCGGGACUUAACCCAACACCUCACGGCACGAGCUGACGACAACCAUGCACCACCUGUAUACGGCCCCGAAGGACACCAUAUCUCUAUGGCUUUUCCGUAUAUUUCAAGCCCUGGUAAGGUUCUUCGCGUUGUGUCGAAUUAAACCACAUGCUCCACCGCUUGUGCAGGCCCCCGUCAAUUCCUUUGAGUUUCACCCUUGCGGGCGUACUCCCCAGGUGGAUUACUUAACGCUUUCGCUAAGACGCUGACUGUGUAUCGCCAACAUCGAGUAAUCAUCGUUUACAGCGUGGACUAC